UCUCUCUCUCUCUCUCUCUCUCUCUCUCUCUCUCUCUCUCUCUCUCUCUCUCUCUCUCUCUCCCCGCCGUUUUACCCAUUCUCAUCCUAAUCCAAACCUUUUGCACCAGAUCAAAGAGAUCCAGCGAAGCCUGCAAAGGUUCGCAUUGCGAGGUUUACUGAGCCUUCACCUACACUCUAUCAACACAGACCGAGAGAGCCUCAUCUUUUGGGUUUUGGUUAUUUGCUCGACACAGAGAGAGAUGGAGCGAAGUAAACUGAGGAAGAAAGGAGAGAAGAAGAGGCCAUCCCUUCAAAAGUAAGCGGAACCCUCACUCCCCAAAACUUAAUUUCACUGCAAAUCAAUCAUUUUUUUUUCUGGAUUGAUUGAUUGAUUGGGUUCCUUAAUUCCUCUGCGAAGAAUUCUUUUUUUUUUGAUGGAUUGAUUGAUUGGGAAUUGGGUUUUCAGUGUCCAUCGUUAGGGUGGAGUUUGGCAUUGCAGGCUUAAUCGUGGACACCAAGGUGUUUUAUUGGCCAAGAAAGGUCUUUUGCUAAAUGCUAUGAAUUUCUGGUAUUUGUGUAGAUUUGGAUCCUUCUCAGCUUUGCUGAUUAAAAUUUUUCGGUGAAGGAUUGGAUUUGGGUUUAUGUUUUGGUGAAUAGAUAUUUGGUUCUUUGGCUUUUUCUUUCUCUAAAUUUUCCUAAACGAUAUGUAUUGAUAUUUUUGCAGUGUGCUUAGCUUUUGUUGCUUCCUUCUGUUUCAAGCUUUUACUGAUUAUUUAGAUUACUGGGUGUGAAUGCUUUAGUAAUUGCAUUAUUAUUGCUUUUUAACUUUGAUUUCAUGCUUCUUUUGGUUUUACUGUUUUUGCUUCAAGUUUGUUCCUUUCUUUUAUCACUUUGCUUAUGAUUUGCCAAAUGAUAAUUCACACUUUUCAUAUUACAUUGUUGGUAUCAAAAUGAUAGAAGGGAUUGCUUCUGUUUAAUUGACUAUUUUAAUUUUCGAGUCUAACAUCAAAGGAAUGAACACAGGGAUUUUUUUUUUAUCCCGUACUUAAGGAAUAAAGGUUAAAUAAGAGAACAUGCUAUAAUUGAAACUUACUAUGAAUUCAGUUGAAGGACCAUAUAUGUUUCCAAAGAAUUAUACACAAGAUGCAACAAUGACCAAGUUUCCUUAGUUCAUAACAAGUGAAAUUUGAGAAAAAAGUUUAGAUUGUUAAAUCAAAAUAACCAGAGGAGCAGAAGUACCAGUGCAUAGAGAGUAUCAAUGUUGACAUACAAAAUUGAACAUGAUGGGUUCAUAGGGAAACUAAUAUUGAGUGGGUCAAAUUUCAAAAAAUUGAAUCAGAAAGACGAGAUUGAAAAGAAGAGAGGGGGCUUACCAAAAUUAGGGGUUUAAGACAGAGCAAGCAAGCAAGCACCCUGAUCACACUGACUGGGGAUCUCACUCAUUGAUAUGGCCAUUACUUAAGGUCUCCAUUGUUCUCACGUGUCAUGACUCAGUAGCUGACCCUGCAGCACUCAAAUCAAAUUACCUAAUUGUACAGCUGAUUUUCCUGCAAAGAUGCAUUCUUAUGCUUAAAACGGUUGCUACCUUGAGGAGAGAUGCUGUUGCUCAGGAGCUGAUGUGUGCCUGGAAUGCUGGCCGCUUAUGACAACUGCUAUUAAAGUGAUUGACACUGCCCUUUGAGGCAAUGUAAGAUAUGAAUUUUGCAGGCAAUGGAAGUCUUGCUUUAUAUAUAAAUAUUAAAGCCAAAGCAGCCACCGAGACCUCUCCAUUUCCAUUGCUUCAGUCUCCCCAAGCUAAAGACUCCCCCUCUGAGAUGGACACAGCAAUAACUUGCAAGGAUAUGGAGACAGAAGGGGUUGAACACUGACAAAUAUGAUGGGCUUCAUUGAUUUUCGUAAAGCUGCAAUCCAUGAAAUCUCUCUCUACUUGCUCAAUUGUAAUAUGAUCUACAUCAUAUUUUUAUGUAUACAAGCUAUGCUCUCAGUUUUAGGUCCAAGCAACUAAUUGUUU